rnacentral:rRNA from 1 species
GACGAAGGGGCUAGCGUUGUUCGGAAUUACUGGGCGUAAAGCGCGUGUAGGCGGUUGCCCAAGUCGGGUGUGAAAGCCUUGAGCUCAACUCAAGAAAUGCACUCGGUACUGGGUGACUAGAGGACCGGAGAGGAUAGUGGAAUUCCAGUGUAGUGGUGAAAUACGUAGAGAUUGGGAAGAACACCAGUGGCGAAGGCGGCUAUCUGGACGGUUUCUGACG